rnacentral:rRNA from 1 species
CCGACCGGCGCACGGGUGAGUAACACGUAUGAAACCUGCCCGUAGCAGGGGGAUAAGCGGAAGAAAUUCCGUCUAAUACCGCGUAACAACCCAUGGAGGCAUCUCUGUGGGUUUAAAGGAAGCGAUUCCGGCUACGGAUGGUCAUGCGUCGCAUUAGCUUGUUGGCGGGGUAACGGCCCACCAAGGCGACGAUGCGUAGGGGUUCUGAGAGGAAGGUCCCCCACACUGGUACUGAGACACGGACCAGACUCCUACGGGAGGCAGCAG